rnacentral:rRNA from 1 species
UACGAAGGGAGCUAGCGUUGUUCGGAAUCACUGGGCGUAAAGCGCACGUAGGCGGAUGUGUCAGUCAGGGGUGAAAUCCCGGAGCUCAACUUCGGAACUGCCUUUGAUACAGCACGUCUUGAGUCCGGAAGAGGUGGGUGGAAUUCCUAGUGUAGAGGUGAAAUUCGUAGAUAUUAGGAAGAACACCGGUGGCGAAGGCGGCCACUGGUCCGGUACUGACGCUGAGGUGCGAAAGCGUGGGGAGCAAACAGG